rnacentral:rRNA from 1 species
UGCUCCCGGAUGUUAGCGGCGGACGGGUGAGUAACACGUGGGUAACCUGCCUGUAAGACUGGGAUAACUCCGGGAAACCGGAGCUAAUACCGGAUAGUUCCUUGAACCGCAUGGUUCAAGGAUGAAAGACGGUUUCGGCUGUCACUUACAGAUGGACCCGCGGCGCAUUAGCUAGUUGGUGGGGUAAUGGCUCACCAAGGCGACGAUGCGUAGCCGACCUGAGAGGGUGAUCGGCCACACUGGGACUGAGACACGGCCCAGACUCCUACGGGAGGCAGCAGUAGGGAAUCUUCCGCAAUGGACGAAAGUCUGACGGAGCAACGCCGCGUGAGUGAUGAAGGUUUUCGGAUCGUAAAGCUCUGUUGUUAGGGAAGAACAAGUGCGAGAGUAACUGCUCGCACCUUGACGGUACCUAACCAGAAAGCCACGGCUAACUACGUGCCAGCAGCCGCGGUAAUACGUAGGUGGCAAGCGUUGUCCGGAAUUAUUGGGCGUAAAGGGCUCGCAGGCGGUUUCUUAAGUCUGAUGUGAAAGCCCCCGGCUCAACCGGGGAGGGUCAUUGGAAACUGGGAAACUUGAGUGCAGAAGA